AAAAAACCCCUGGUUGUCGUCUUCAGAUGAAGAAAACUUAGAUAUGCCUGUUGGAGGAGCUGCCUCUUUGUGUUCUAUGAAUAUUGUUUUGUUGUUUUUUUCCCUCCUGGUCAGACUACAGUCAUCUCCAACCCCUGUAACCCAGUGAAUUCACCAGCAACCCAAGACUAUGGGACAGUGAGACUUUCAUGUCUGAGUUAGAAAAGCUUUUUAGUCUAUUUUUAAUUCCCAGAUCAGUUCAGUGCCUGAACUAGUCUCUGAUUUUACAUGUUAUGCUGGUACCAAGCUCUCGUCUGUUGUGACUGUGCACUGAGACACCAGCACCAAACCAGGCACAUGCUGCAGAUGGAAUGCGGCAUUAUUGGUUUCACAUUCACUCAUAGAAGGUUUUGCUCUUCCCAACCAGAGGGAGAUGACUGCCACCAAGCCAUCGAGUCCUUUUUCACAGAAAGAGUUUGAAGCCCUUGCAACACUGGAACACCUGCAAGUGCAGCUCAUAGAAACAGAGAUCCGUGCUCAGAAUGCAGAGGAGAGAUCUGAGGGUCUUGAAGAGAAGCUGGAAGAAGCUCUGCAGAGAAUCAAAGAGCUAGAGAGUGAGCUGGAGAAAGAAGGGAAAGUCACCCCAGAAGCCACACGCGAAGAAGGGCAAGAAAAAUAUUUCCAAGAAAGUGUCCCAGAAGUAGAGGCCUGCUUGAGUCCCAAAGCUUCUACCUCUGACGAGUCCGAAGGAUCCGGAGAAAGCGAAUAUUAAAGAGCAGUAAUGCCUGAGUAGUUUCUCAGCGCCCAUUCAACUCACCCCCGAUCCACUGCCUUACUCGUCAUCCACUACCCCAACAUCUCUGUGCUAUCUCAGCACUUAUGCUGUUCUUCUAGCUGGCUCUACCACUUCCACAUCUGUCGUCUUUGUCCUCUACUGCCUUCCACAGCUCUAAUAUCUUUACAGAUCGUCUUCCUUGUAAUACCGUUGCAACUUCGACUUUCUCCUGCCUGUGCACUCUCCCUGCCUUCCCUUGCCUUGUGCUUGCCUCCUGGUUGUGUUCAUCAAUCUCUUCUUGCUGCUCUACCUCAUUCUGCCUAUCCCUGUUGGAUCAUUCAAGUAAAUAAUUUGCACCUCUUUCCUCUUGUACCAAGGUUGUUGUUUUUUUUUCCCCAGUGCCACCAUGGCUUGGUUGUGUAUCUGAUAAUGGGUACCUCCUACAUCCCCUGGGCUUUAGAUGAUUCAGUUACCAGCUGACUGGUUAGGAAGAAAUUGUACAGAAAUUGUGCAGAAUUGUAUGGAUAAAUUUUUGUUUGUCUUUGAAUGUU
rnacentral:lncRNA from 1 species